rnacentral:rRNA from 1 species
AACGAACGCUGGCGGCAUGCCUAACACAUGCAAGUCGAACGAACCCUUCGGGGUUAGUGGCGCACGGGUGCGUAACGCGUGGGAAUCUGCCCUUGGCUUCGGAAUAACAGUUAGAAAUGACUGCUAAUACCGGAUGAUGUCUUCGGACCAAAGAUUUAUCGGCCAGGGAUGAGCCCGCGUAGGAUUAGGUAGUUGGUGGGGUAAAGGCCUACCAAGCCGACGAUCCUUAGCUGGUCUGAGAGGAUGAUCAGCCACACUGGGACUGAGACACGGCCCAGACUCCUACGGGAGGCAGCAGUGGGGAAUAUUGGACAAUGGGCGCAAGCCUGAUCCAGCAAUGCCGCGUGAGUGAUGAAGGCCCUCGGGUCGUAAAGCUCUUUUACCCGGGAUGAUAAUGACAGUACCGGGAGAAUAAGCCCCGGCUAACUCCGUGCCAGCAGCCGCCGUAA